rnacentral:rRNA from 1 species
CUUGGUCAUUUAGAGGAAGUAAAAGUCGUAACAAGGUUUCCGUAGGUGAACCUGCGGAAGGAUCAUUAAAGAAUUGCCCCAUUUUUUGAAAUGGGUUCUAUUCCCAAACCGUGUAUACAUACCUUUGUUGCUUUGGCGGGCCGUGGCCUCCACUGCGGGCUCUGCUCGUGUGUGCCCGCCAGAGAACCAAACUCUGAAUGUUAGUGAUGUCUGAGUACUAUCUAAUAGUUGAAACUUUCAACAACGGAUCUCUUGGUUCUGGCAUCGAUGAAGAACGCAGCGAAAUGCGAUAAGUAAUGUGAAUUGCAGAAUUCAGUGAAUCAUCGAAUCUUUGAACGCACAUUGCGCCCUGUGGUAUUCCGCAGGGCAUGCCUGUUCGAGCGUCAUUUAACCACUCACGCCUAGCGUGGUAUUGGGGCACGCGGUCUCCGCGGCCCUCAAAAUUAGUGGCGGCGCCGGUGGGCUCUAAGCGUAGUACAUACUCCCGCUAUAGAGUUCCCCCCGGUGGCUCGCCAGAACCCCCAAUUUUUUACAGGUUGACCUCGGAUCAGGUAGGGAUACCCGCUGAACUUAAGCAUAUCAAUAAGCGGAGGA